UGGCCGCCGUCUGAAAUAUUUACGCGGUCAAACCAGAGGAUUUGUUUUGCUGGAAUAGGGUACAGGCGCCGCGGAAACUAUGCUCUACCAGUCAUGUAUUGGUAGAGCUCACAUGGAAACGCGGCCGCGCGAUGCGCGUGUGUAUGGUCACCUAAUCCUGAGGAGCUCCAGGGGAAAAGAAGGGACAGGCCAAAAGGCAAACAACGAGGACAAAUAAGGCUCUCGGGUCUAACUCCGGAUAAAUUCACAAACAGGGAACCACUAUUAAGCCGGGCGGCAAAGAUAGCCCGGGUGGAAGACUUCUCGCCGGAGGCCAGCAGCGAUACGGAUCUCCACACAGAAAAACGGCGCUCUCCGGUGAUUUGUGCAAUGGCAGUCCGAGGUUCGGCUGCCAGACAAAAUGGAGUUACUUCUCAGCGCCGCGAUGCGACGGCUGGAAGUCCCCGAGAUGAGGUGGACGCGGUACACCGGAACGGACUUACCGGGAAAUGUGUGAUGUCGUCGGCGUCGACUGCAAAAGGCUUUUCUGGAUGGUCGUUGGUACGGGUCGAACGGACACCGGUUGCUGGACAGCCAAGUCGGGCUGGUAGGUAUGGCGAA